AUAGGUCUCGGACAUGAGGCAUGCCCCCAGAGUUGUAUAAUUGCCAUCCGGAGUUUCUUUUGAAAACAAAAGUCAUUUUAACUCCUUCAUUCCCUUAAUCUCCACAGUUCUACAUCAUCAGGUCCUUCUUUUCAAAUUUUUUUUUUUAUUUUGGAGCUGCGUAUUAUAUAUCGCACGUGUGAAACAAAGGUAAAUGCUUUGAGGUACCUUUCUUUUUGUUUUCCUUUUUUUUUUUGGGUUACUUUUAUUGUUAUAUCUGGUUAAUGCAACUCUCAUAUGAAGGAGGUAUAAAGUCCUUAAACUAAUUAGUUUUCCUUUUUUUUUUUCCCUUUUUUUGUGCUCCUUUUUUCUUGAUUUAAGUGGCAUUUUAUUUUCUGAUCAUGAUAUUCGCUCUACCAUUACCAGCAUCCUUGUUUUUAAUUCUGUAGUUAUCUACCCAACCACUCUUAGCUAUUUUAAAAUGUUUAUUUCCACUAAUUAGAAUUUAAAAUCAUCGAAGAUAU
rnacentral:lncRNA from 1 species